CUCGUCUCUCUGUUAAAACAGACCGAGAUGGAAAAGUCUUCUUCUUCUCACAGUUUCCAGGUCCCACGUCCCUCAAGGUGAGAGGAGCAUGAAGAAGAGACGGGCCGUGGAGCGGAGGGAAGGAGAUGAAAAGAGCAAUGCUCAUGGACUGGAAAAAACCCGAUCAGAGCUCAUGGCCCAGCAGCUCAGUGACAGCAUCUGGAAGUCCCUCUGUACGCUCUCAACAAAACAGCAAGGGCAGUGGUUGUGAGUCACCAGAAGCAGAUGUUGGCAGGAGGAGAAAUAUAAAGAACCUUUUGUUAAGUUCUCGGCUCGUCCAGUAAAAAAAGACUGUCCACUAAAUGGUAUAAUAAUCGUUUCCCAAAUGGAACAAUGUAAUUGUGGAAAGUAAAA